rnacentral:tRNA from 1 species
UGGGUUGUAGCUCAGUGGUGGAGCGCUUACCUAGCACACAUGAGCACUGGGUUAGAUCCUCAGCACCACAC